CCUACGGGGCGCAGCAGUGAGGAAUAUUGGUCAAUGGGCGGAAGCCUGAACCAGCCAAGUCGCGUGAGGGAAGAAGGCCCUGCGGGUCGCAGACCUCUUUGGACGGGGAGCAAGGCCGCCGACGUGUCGGCGGAAGGAGAGUACCCGUAGAACAAGCAUCGGCUAACUCCGUGCCAGCAGCCGCGGUAAUACGUAGGGAGCAAGCGUUAUCCGGAUUUACUGGGUGUAAAGGGCGCGUAGUCGGGAUGGCAAGUCAGAUGUGAAAUCCAGGGGCUCAACCCCUGAACUGCAUGUGAAACUGUCGU
rnacentral:rRNA from 1 species